AGCGGUAACAGCUCAAAUUUGAAAUCUGGCUCUUCCGGAGUCCGAGUUGUAAUUUGUAGAAGAUGCUUUGGGAGGUAGGGCCGGCCUAAGUUCCUUGGAACAGGACAUCAGAGAGGGUGAGAAUCCCGUAUGUGGCCGUGGCCUACGCCCGUGUAAAGCUCUUUCGACGAGUCGAGUUGUUUGGGAAUGCAGCUCAAAAUGGGUGGUAAAUUUCAUCUAAAGCUAAAUAUUGGCCAGAGACCGAUAGCGCACAAGUAGAGUGAUCGAAAGAUGAAAAGCACUUUGGAAAGAGAGUUAAACAGUACGUGAAAUUGUUGAAAGGGAAGCGCUUGCAACCAGACUUGGGCGUCGUCGAUCAUCCGGGGUUCUCCUCGGUGCACUCGACGAGGCACAGGCCAGCAUCGGUUUGGAUGGUUGGAGAAAGGCCCUAGGAACGUAGCUCUCUUCGGGGAGUGUUAUAGCCUAGAGCGCAAUGCAGCCCAUCCGGACCGAGGACCGCGCCUUUGGCUAGGAUGCUGGCGUAAUGGUUGCAAGCGACCCGUCUUGAAACACGGACCAAGG
rnacentral:rRNA from 1 species